rnacentral:rRNA from 1 species
GAUGAACGCUAGCGGCAGGCUUAAUACAUGCAAGUCGAGGGACAGCACAGGUAGCAAUACUGGGUGGUAACCGGCAAACGGGUGCGGAACACGUACACAACCUUCCUUUAAGUGGGGGAUAGCCCAGAGAAAUUUGGAUUAAUACCCCGUAAUAUAGUUGAAUGGCAUCAUUUGAUUAUUAUAGCUACGGCGCUUAAUGAUGGGUGUGCGGCUGAUUAGAUAGUUGGCGGGGUAACGGCCCACCAAGUCUACGAUCAGUAGCUGAUGUGAGAGCAUGAUCAGCCACACGGGCACUGAGACACGGGCCCGACUCCUACGGGAGGCAGCAGUAAGGAAUAUUGGUCAAUGGACGCAAGUCUGAACCAGCCAUGCCGCGUGAAGGAUUAAGGUCCUCUGGAUUGUAAACUUCUUUUAUUUGGGACGAAAAAGGGCCUUUCUAGGUCAAUUGACGGUACCAGAUGAAUAAGCACCGGCUAAUUUCGUGCCAGCCGCCGCCGUAAAAC